AGUUUUCACGAUGCACCCUUGAGGCUAGGCACGCUGAUUCAACACACUUGGAGAGCUUCACCGAAACACACUAAACACACAGUGAUGAACUGUGCCCUGGCAGAGAUGACCUGGCAAAAUUCUCAACUUCUUCCCUGAGGCAGUGCACCCGCAGUUCUCGGCGGCGAAGUCUUUGGGGCAGAAGUCCCGAGCCUUCAGAACGGCAGGCUUCUCCCCCUCAGGACUCCAGUCCCCGCGGCCAAGGCUGUCGCUGCGGGGGCCCCGCGCGGGACUGGCCAGGCUCUUCCAUUAACCCUGUCUGGUCCGGCCGAUCCCGCCGCGACCCGAGCGCCUCUCGGCCCCGCAGCACAGGGCGCCCAGGACCCGCCACCCUCGCCGCCCGUUCCCCUCUCCGGAGAGCCCGGCGGGGCCGUCAGGCUGCCGAGACAAAGGGUACCGCGGCGCCAGAGGCCGAGGCCCAGCCGCGCCUGCCUUCCUCUUUCUCCCGCCCACUGCCAACCUCCAGUCGCCCGCAGAACCUCCGCUGCCUCGGCGCGACCCCAUCGCCACCCCGGGGCUGCCGCUCGGGACCGGCAAGCCGGGUAGCCGCGAGGCGGCCGCGGCAUGCUAGGGCCGAGGAGGGGGCGGCGGCCGCCACCAUGUCUGCCCGCCCCUCCCAGAAGCAGUGUGCCCAGCGGACAAAGCGCAGCGGCGGCGCGGGCGCCCAGGCCGACCCCGCCGACCCCCGCGGAAUAAGCGGGGCCAGGAGCCCCGGAAACCCGGCGCCUUAAUGCAAUAAACAGGAAAUCGCGGGGAUGAUCUGGGUUCCGGGGGAAGUGGAAUUAUUUUUUACCAGCGAAGAGAUCAACUUCCACAUCCGGUGGUAACAGGGCCCUACACAGACCCGCACUGACCUGGAAAAGCUUCGGGAGCGGCGACGGGAAGGCAGCAGGAGGUGGUGCGGGGACCCGAGGCGCCUCGUACCCGGCCGGGCUGACGCGGCCCCGCUACACACAAAGCGCUUCAGCUGCACAGGGCGCUAUUUUCCGAAAAUGCCGCGUCUGGUCGGCGCCCAAAAUCCCCACCGAAAAGUCCCCCGUGCUGCGCGCGGAGGGACACAUGGUGUGCGAGUGAGUCAAGCUCCCAGCAUCCCUCCCGGACCCGGCCCUCUUCAGCUCAUCGCCCGAGGAUUUUCCGCCUCUGCCCUCGUCGGCAGAUCCUGCUCCUACCCACUCCCUAGCUGUGUUCCCGCGGGGAGAGAGGGGAAAGAGGGUCUGAUUUUUUAACGAAGGGAAAGAAAAUAUGCCAUUUCUAGCGCUUCAGCCACACAAAGAAAGCGGCGGAAUGAUCCGCUCUCGGCGACCGCAAGUCCCGGCUCGCCCGGCGCCUGCGCGGCAGCGGGGGUGGGAGCUGCGGACGGCCAUGUGCGCGGCGGAGAGGCCGGGUGGCCACCGAACCUUCCCGCCUGUUCUGCGGUGGGUAGGAGUUUGGAAACUAAUGUUCCUGUGCUAACCUUCGUGUCUCUGUGACAUGACUGUUGAAAGACGGAGAGUGCGGAAUCUUUGGAGUUUUAAGCUUGCCAACUGUGCGGCCUAGCAGAAUCCUGGGAGACGGAAGGACAGCCAAGAGGCUAGGAUUUACCUUUAAGUGUCCCUAGAUUCAACUAGGCAGACUGGGACGGGAGACGCUGUGAAGGGGCGUCUGGGCAUGGCUUUCCCAACCUAGUAACUGCAACUUUUAGCAUCCUACAUGUAGGACUUGGGAAUAUGUGAGACAGCGCCAAGAAUUUAAUCCAGGAGAAUUGACAAGCUUAAAUGAAAUCCAUAUUGCCCACUGAUUUUGUGCAGCUUCAGAUAAGUAAUCUUUCUCCACUUAGCCUUUUGUAACAAUUGAUGUAAUAAAGGUUUGUAGUCUUUGUGUAAUUUAUUAAAGCAUUGUGCCUAAAAUAGAAAAAAAGCAUAGGAACCAUAGGCUGUGUUUUCUUUUGAUUUAAUAUUUUCAUUUCUUCAGUUAAUAGAAAUUUGCCAAAUUCUGAUGUUUUUCUGUAGCAUUAUUUGAAUGAGCAUUGUUUAUUUGAGUGAACAUUCAGCUAAUUGUUACAGAAUCGUUGCCCCCAUUAAUCUUAGGCUGUAGAAUGUAGACAAGUAAAUAGGCAUCAUCAGUAUGAUGAGAGUGAAGCUACUUAAUACUGUGGAAUCAAAUAAAGGAGGAACCCCUUACUAAACCAAGAGGGAGGAAUAAAAUGGAAUGGGACUAGAGAAGCAAUUAGCUUUAAUAAGGGUAUUAUGGAAGACUUUCUAGAUGAGAAGCAGUAAGUACAGAUGUUUGGAGGCAAACACUAGAGAGAUUGUUGGGUAAAGAAGACAAUGCUGGAGGUCUACUUGUGAAGGCCUUGAAUGCUAUGUGCAGAAGUCAGCUUCUGAGAACCAGGAAGAAGAUAUUGAAAGAUUUUAAGUAGAAGAAUCAUAGGAUUGAAUUCAUUUUAGACAGAUCACUGUUACACAAAAAUUUGAGGCAAACAGAAGAGUUUGGAGUAAACAGUAGGCUGUGAGCCAGUAAUGACUUGGACUGAGUUGGUAGCAGGUAGGUGUGAAGAAAAUAAAGUGGUUAUUGGGAGAUUUGGUUAACUGAAAAUGACUGAGGGAGAUAGAUGUCAGGUGACUCCCAAGUGAGUUGGUGGAGCAGCUAGGAGGAUAGUAAUGUCUUCACUGAGAUUAGAAACAAAAUAAGAGAAUAUAUGUUAGGGAAGGAAGAAGUCUUUGUUUUGACCAUGUAAAAUUUGAAGUGCAUGUGAGCCAACCAGUCAUAUAUGUGUAGUGUGCAAUUAGAUAUUCAUUCAACACUGUUGGAAGAGCACCUACUCUGUGCCUGGUACUGUUCUACACACUGAAAUAGGUAAAGCAGCAGCAAAACAAAUGGUUCCUACUCCUGUUUUUUAGAGGGAAACAGCAUAUAAACAAGUUUUAAAAAUAAGAGGAGAGAGAAUAUCCCAUAAAUUCGUGAAGAAGGCUGGGUGCAGUGGCUCAUGCCAGUAAUCCCAGCAGUUUGGGAGGCCGAGGUGGGUGGAUCUCCUGAGUUCAGGAGUUAAAGAGCAGCCUGGCCAACAUGGCAAAACCCCGUCUCUACUGAAAAAAAUUAGCUGGGCAUGGUGGCACGCUCCUGUAAUUCCAGCUACUCCGGAGGCUGAGGCAGGAGAGUAGCUUGAACCCAGGACACGGAGGCUGCAGUGAGCCGAGAUUGCGCCACUGCACUCCAGCCUGGGCGACUGAACGAGACUCCGCCUCAAAAAAAAAGAGUUUGUGAGGAAAAUUAAAAGCUGAUUGGAUAAAGUGUUACUCUGGGGAAAAGAGAGCAAACUUUUGGUGGUUGGUUGAUCAGAGAUGGCCUCACUGAGAAGGUAUUAGAAAGGACAAGAACAGUGUGAGACCAAAGGGAAUAGCUGGGCAAAGGCCCUAAGGUGAAAAAUUUGUUGUGUUUAGGGAAUAGCAAGGUCAGUGUAUCCGAAAUCUAGUGACCAAAAGAAGGAAUGAUAGGAGGUGAAGUCUUCAGCCUCAAUAAGAAGGUGAAGUGCACUGGAAGCCAUUGAAGGAUUUAAGAAAUGGAGUAUCUGGCCGGGCGCGGUGGCUCACGCCUGUAAUCCCAGCACUUUGGGAGGCCGAGGUGGGAGGAUCAAGAGGUCAGGAGAUGGAGACCAUCCUGGCUAACAUGGUGAAACCCCGUCUCUAUUCAAAAUAAAAAAUUUUUUUAAAAAUUAGCCAGGCGUGGUGGCGGGCGCCUGUAGUCCCAGCUACUCGGGAGGCUGAGGCAGGAUAAUGGCGUGAACCCAGGAGGCAGGGCUUGCAGUGAGCCGAGAUCGUGCCACUGCACUCCAGCCUGGGCGACAGAGCGAGACUCCGUCUCAAAAAAAAAAAAAAAAAAAAAAGAAAUGGAGUAUCAUGGACUAGGAUAGUAGCAGUAGAGAUGAGGGAAGUGGAUGGAUCCAAAAAGCUGACCUAUCUUGCUUACCAAUUAAAUGAGGAAAGGGAGGAAUCAAUAGUGAUGCCUAGGUUUGGGGCAUGUUGUCUAGGUGGAAUUAAUUUUAAUUACACUUUUAACCCCUAGCAUAUCCAAAUAUUAUUUCACAUGUGAUCAACAUAAAAAAUUACUAAAUAUUAAAAAUAUUUUACAUUAUCUUUCUCAUAACUAAGCAUUUGAAAUCUGGUGUGUAUUUUAUACUUAUAGCAUAUCUCAGUACUUGAUUUCAUAAAAUUUCCAGCUGAAAAAAUAGAUUCACGUACCCAAGUCGUUCCAAGCAUACUUAAAAGUUUUACGGUAAUCGAAUCGUGUAUAUUUUUAAAUUUUAUUUUAAAUUAAAGUUAGGAUUAUGAAUUCAGUUCCUAAAUUAGCCUCAUUUCACUUCUGCAUUUCAAGUGGGACAAGUUAUUACCAUAUUGGACAAUGCAGUCUAGUGAAGUAGAGGAUAGUGGAAAGUCAGACUUAAAAAGUUGUUUAGAACCAGCUCUGGAAGGCCUUGGAUGUCAGAUUAAAGGACUGAGAUUUUACCCUUGAGUCAGGCAGAAUAAUGGAUGGUUUUUGAACUAAGGAGUGACACAAGGUUGUGCUUAUGACUAGAAGGAGGCCACUAGGUGGCCAGCUGGUGAGUCAGGACACCCUUCAGUUGCUUUGACUUCAGCCCUGUGGAUUCAAAGUCUGAUUUUUGUCAGCGCUCUAGAGCAGUCUCACCAAAAGUGUGGUCCACAAGGCAGUGCCAGUCUGUAAGCCCUUUGUUACACAUCCAUGUCAAGGCAUUUACAGAAAGUAAGAAUUUAGAAACUUAUAGCAGUUUAACAGACUAAUUUUAUUUCUGUGGGUCUAAUAAAAAUUUGAGGGAUUGUACUUUGCAUAUUCUUUAUUUCCCUUUUUUUGUUUGUUUUUUGUGUUCGAGAUGGGAGUCUUUUUCUGUCGCCAGGCUGGAGUGCAGUGGUGCAGUCUCGGCUCACUGCAACCUCUGCCUCCUGGGUUCAAGCGAUUCUCCUGCCUCAGCCUCCCAAAUAGCUGGGAUUACAGGUGUGCACCACCACAUCCAGCUAAUUUUUGUAUUUUCAGUAGAGACGGGGUUUCACCAUGUUGGCCAGGAUGGUCUUCAUUGCCUGACCUUGUGAUCCGCCUGCCUCAGCCUCCCAAAGUGCUGGGAUUACAGGCGUAAGCCACCGUGCCCGGCCCUUUUUUCCUUUUUAGUUUAUUUUUUUCUUUUUUGAGACAGAGUUUCGCUCUUAUUGCCCAGGCUGGAGUGCAAUGGUGCGAUCUUGGCUCACCGCAACCUCUGCCUCCUGAGUUGAAGCGAUACUCCUACCUCAGCCUCCCAAGUAGCUGGGAUUACAAGCAUGCACCACCAUACCCUGCUAAUUUUGUAUUUUUAGUAGAGACGGGUUUCUCCAUGUUGGUCAGGCUGGUCUCGAACUCCCAACCUCAGGUGAUCUACCUGCCUUGGCCUCCCAAAGCGCUGGGAUUACAGGUGUGAGCCACUGCACCCGGCCGUUUUUUUCUUUUUCUAAUAAUUUUUAUCAUAUUACAUAAAAGUACCUAUGGUCUCACAGAUGAAGGGAGUCAGAAGAACCAAACUCCCAGAAGACAUAUAAAUCUAAAUGCCUUUUUUACUUUAGAGUGAAAACUGUAAUAGCUAAAUUAUAAUGGACAUCUGCUCAUUUUCUCCCUCCAUGUAGACAUGGAAAGCUACACGGAAAUAACCGAGUUUAUAGUAGCUACCAUAUAUUAAACGUUUCCUGUAUGCCAGCCACUGUGCAAAGCAUAUUAUAUAUAUUGUCUCAUUUAAUCCUCACAACUCUGUAAAAUAAGUAUUGUUUGCCCCAUUUUUCCAAUGAAGAAACCGAGGCUAAAAUAGGUUGAAUAACUUACCUAAAUUCACCAUCCUCAAAGGUGUUAAAGACAGGAUUCCAGUACAGGUCUCUCAUUUCCUUCAUGAUUAGGAAUACUACUUUGAAAUGAGAGACCUGUACUGUAUCUGUUAAUUCCAAAUUCCCUGGCAUAAAGACUCAGUACAUUGUUUAAAGAGAAUGCAUGAAGUUAACUGCAUUACCUUUUGGAGGGUUCAUUUGUGAAUUUGGGGCCAAAGUAAGGGGAGUUACUGGUAUUCUAAUAGCAUCAAACAAAUGAAUUCAUUUCAUCUUUUGGGGAGGUGGAGGGAAUAAGGUCUCACCUUGUCGCCCAUGCAGGCUGGAAGGCCGUGAUGUGAUCUCAGCUCACUGCAGCCUCAACCUGGGCUCAAGCGAUCCUCCCACCUCAGCCUCCUGAGUAGCUGGGACUACAGGUGCACACCACCACGCCCAGCUCAUUUUUGUAUGUUUUGUAGAGACUGUGUUUUGCCACGUUGCCCAGGCUAUUCUCAAACUCCUGAGCUCAAGUGAUCCUCCCACCUCAGCCUCCCAAAGUGCUGGGAUUACAGAUGUAAUCCACCACACCCAGCCAAAUGCAUUCAUGUCUACAAUAGAAAUACAUCUCUUUGCUGCUAUCUUGAAUUUGUAGACUCCCACAAAUCAAUAAAAAAGAAGACAUCCAAUAAAAAAAUGGGUAGAGGCCAGGCAGUGGCUAACACCUGUAAUCCAAGCACUUUAGGAGGCCCAGGCAGGCAGAUCACUUGAGGUCAGAAGUUCAAGACCAGCCUGGCCAACAUGACAAAACCCUGUCUCUACUAAAAAUAUAAAAAUUAGCCAGACGUAGUGGCACGUACCUGUAAUCACAACUACUCGGGAGGCUGAGACAGGAGAAUUGCUUGAACCCAGGAGGCAGAAGUUGCAGUGAGCCAAGAUCGUGCCACUGCACUCCAGCCUGGGCGACAAAGCAAGACUCCAUCUCAAAAAAAAAAAAAAAAAAAAAGGUAGAAACUUAAACAGUCACCUCACAAAAAAGGGUAUCUAAAUAUUAGUUUCUUAAAAAAUAUAAAAGGGGCGUGUAGAUGGCCGAUAAACAUGUAAAAGAUACUCAACUAAUUUAAUCAUUAGAGAAAUGCAAAUUAAAACCUAAAUGAUAUUUUAAUCUCACAUCCAACAGAAUGGCUAAAAUGGAAAACCCAGAAAAUGCCAGAUGUUGGUCAAGAGUUGGAGUAACUGAAACUACACAGCUGCUGGAAAUGUAUAUUGGUAUAACCACUUUGGAAAAUGGGAAGUUCAACAAACAGGCAAACCAAUCUAGAUUUAGGGAUAUAUGUUUAGGUAGUAAAAGUAUAAAGAAAAGAAAUAGUUAGCUUUGCAGGGAGUAGUGCUUGGGAGGUAAUAGGUGCUUCUGGAGUGCUGUUGAUGUUCUGUUCCUAAGUAGGGUGCUAUGGCUUGAGUUUGGUUUGUCUGACCCUACCAAGUCUCAUGUUAAAAUUUCAUCCCCAGUGUUGGAGGUGAGGCCUGGUGGGAAGGGUUGUGGGAGUGGAUUUCUCAUGAGUGGCUUCGUAUUCUGUAAGGAGUGAGUUCAUUAAGAGACUGGCACCUCCUCUCUCCUUUCUCUCGCCAUGUGAUCUCUGCAUAUGUCAUCUCCUGUCUGCCUUCCACCGUGAGCAGCCUGAAGCCCUCACUGGAAGCAGAUACUGCUACCAUGCUUCUUGUACAGCCUGCAAAACCGUGAGCCAAAUAAGCCGAACAUUCUAAGACACUGGGAUUACAUGAGUGUUAGCACUCUAUGACUUAAUGAGAAGUAGGUUUUUUGGAGAAAAAUGUACUUUCAGUAUGUAUAUUAUAUAUUUCAUGGUUAUUUUUAAAACUCGUGAGCAAUGCUGGAUACACACUACCAACUAUUACUUCCCUGACUGAGCCAAUUUUUCUGUAAAUGCAUCACAAAUGUGAAAGAUAAGGUAGGCCUGAAUUCUGGGGAAUGACAAUGGUGAAGGAAAGGCGAGACAGGUGCAAAAGACACUGCAGAACUCAGGCUCAAAAUCUCAUCCUUAACUCCUUCCCUCAUCCCACCAUGUUGAAUCAGAUGUCAAUAGCAAUUUUAUAUGGCAUUUUUUAAGCUUGCAAAAAGUUAUAAACAGAAAAUGUUCAUUUUAUCACUCCAUCACAGACGAAAAACAUGAAAUUAAGCUAGGAAACAUGUUCAGGUGAUUAGAGUAGAUAGAACAUAGACUAAAAACCAGUGAACUUAUAAAAAAAAAUCCCAUGAUGUGGACAAAAAAAAAGAACUUGUGGCUCCUCACUCCAACUCCUGUGACUCUCUCACCUUACCCCCACUGCCUUCAAGUUUUUUGUAGAAAGAGAAAUUUUGUAUGGAUUGAGUUUAAGAUGAUGCCAGAAUAUCAAGGUAGAAUUAUUAAACACACAAAAGCUAAGGUUUGGUACUCUGAAAAAAGGUCAGAAUUGGUGAUAGAAAAUUAGAAGUUACCCAUCCAUAGAAGGGUAAUAAAGCCAUGAGAGUGAAGGAAACCAGUGAGAGAGAAUAUUGAGAAAAGUACUGAAGGACAGAGAAGGAGAAGCGAAGGAGGAAAGCAAAUCAGCAUUUAUUGAGCAUCUGUUAAACUGUAUGGCAGCUGCUCUACAUUUACUAUCUCAUUUAUUCCUUUCCAUUUCCAAGGUAGCCAAUUUUAGCCUCACUUGAUAGACUGGCUUUGUAGACUCAAAAAGCAGUAAAAAGAACCAGCAUUCAAAACCAGCUUGACUCCAGUUUAUUCUGUGUACUACACCAUUCCUGGAGAGGCUAAGUGUGUGUUACAGAAGACCAUGGGGAGAAUUUAGCUCAAGUAAAGAUAAGCCCUGGGAAAAGACCAUUGGAUUUUUGUGUUUUUUGACUAAGGGGUUCCCAUAACAUAGCAGCACCUGCACUCCUGUCUUAACGCGUCUGUGAAUGUGGGUAAUCCAGACAAAUGUAAACGCCUGUCAAUAAGGGGGGAAAAAGUCAAGAUAGUAAAUGUAAAAAUUAGUAUAAUGAAAACAAACCAGUUAUUAAAUUCUAUCUAGAUACUCUUGCCAACCAAGCACUUCGAAUCUCAAGGCUUGAAUGAAGAAUAGCUUUUUUUUUCUCUGAGACACGGUCUUACUCUGUUGCCCAAGCUGGCGUGCAGUGGCAAGAUCUCAGCUCACUGCAGCCUGGAUUUCCCAUGCUCAGGUGAUUCUCCCACCUCAGCCUCCUUAGCAGCUAGAACUACAAGCGCAGCCACCAUGCCUGGCUAAUUCUGUGUAUUUCUGGUAGAGAUGGGGUUUUGCCAUGUUGCCCAGGCUAGUCUUGAACUCCUGAGCUCAAGCGAGACACCCACCUUGACCUCCCAAAGUGUUGGGAUUACAGACAUUAGCCACCACGCCUGGCCUGUAAACAGGAAUAACUUUCUUGCUGUGUGAUUCAAUGUUAUUUACUGCUUUGUUCAUGUACUGCCUAUGUUGAUUAUCACCAGUGGUAUGGAUCCUGCACAUUGGGAAACACUGCAGUGUUAUUUAAUUUUGUUCACUGUGUUUACAGUGCAGUUUUAGUCACCUGAAAUUCUAAGAGAAAAGAUCAAUAUGGUUUUGCCAAUCAAAGGUCAUUAAUACUUGGAAUGAAAGAUAACUUAUCCUGGUGAUGAACACAUGCCUUUUGAAAAGCAUCAGUAUCUCCUUAAAAUGUAUAAACUACUGUAAUCAAUGAGGAAGACUUUUUCUUAUCAGAUUUAUUAAACUCAUUUACCAUACAAAUAGCAUUAUAACAUUAAAGAAAAUUUUUUAAAAAUUCUGUACCAUAAAACAAUUACUGGUUCCUUCCUACCUGUUUUUAGGUUUGCAGAUGAAUAAUGUGUGGAUUUUUGGCAGACACACUGCUGAAAAUUUUUCACUUUGUUGGGUGAGCAUCUCACCCUAUCUCCAUUUGUCUCCCUGCUCGUGAGUUCUAGAGAAGACCACCAGUAAGCAAGUGAAAUUCUUUGGCCAAGUCACUGAUAUCAGAAUUCCCCAGAGGCACCAAGAACUUUGAUUUCCAGAAAUUGUUUAGGCACAGCCACUCAUUCAACCUUAUAUUUUGUAUCUCAGAGUUAAGGUUGCAUUUGGGCUACCUAGCCUGUAGACUCUAUUUUAAGACAAGCAGGCAUUUAAUAGUUGUUGGUUGGUUGAUUAGAGCUUCUAGCCAAUUUUUAAAAAUUAUUUGAAUAGAUAAGGCAUUCACUGGUUCAAAAAAAAUUUUUUAAUCAUCACUUCCACCCAUCCAGUUAUCACUACUGAAGUAACCUCUACUUUUUGUUUCUUGCAUAUUCUUUCUUUCUUUUUUUUUUUUUUUUUUUUUUUUGAGACAUAGUCUCGAUCUGUCGCCCAGGCUGGGGUGCAGUGGCGUGAUAUUGGGUCACUGCAACCUCCGUCUCCCGAGUUCAAGCAAUUCUCCUGCCUCAGCCUCCCAUGUAGCUGGGACUACAGGCGCGUGCUACCACGCCCGGCUAAUUUUUAUAUUUUUAGUAGAGACGGGGUUUCACCAUGUUGGCCAGGCUGGUCUUGAACUCCUGACCUCAGGUGAUCGCUUGCCUCGGCCUCCCAAAGUGGAGUUACAGGCAUGAAUCACAGUGCCCAGCCUCUUGUAUAUUUUUCCACAUACACAUUUUUUCAUACAUACAUAUGUGAGAAUAAAUGUUCUUAUUCCCCCUCCCCCAUUUUUAUGUAGGAGAAAAUACCGUACAAACCCUUCUGCACAUUGGACUUGAGAUGGCUUUUCCAUCUCAGUGCAAAAAGGCGACAUUUUUUCUUAACCACUGCACAUUAUUUGGUUAUCACCCAGUUUAGGGACAUUGAGUUUCUUUUGUACUCUAGUGCUUGAAUGAUUAUCCUUGGAUGUACAUCUUUCCUUGUAUAUUUAAAUAUGUCUCAUCUCAGUUUCCACAGGUGGAAUUGCUCUGCAAAAAGGCAUAUAUGUAUUUUUAAUUUGCCCUCUAUGUACUAAAUGUUUUCACCCCAGCAUUGCUGAUGGAUUAGAGUGCUGCCAAGUUUUUGGAUUUUUACCUACCAGCUUUUGAAGGGCAGAUUAUUUCAAGUCUUAAUUAAUAUUUUCAGGAACAGUAACAAUAUCAUUUGGUUAAAUUGAGAGAAAUGGGGUUCAGUUGACAGAAUUUGUUCAGGAUAUAGAAUUUUUCUGCUGCUGCUCCUGCAGCUACACACCUACAACUAGUAAAAACAUGGUUGCUUAGGUUGUCAAAUGACCAGCAAACCUGGAGAGGAACCUGGAAUGACUAUAAACAGCUCCACCCACACUUUUUUUGGGCAAAUGUGCAAGCUUAGUAGAAUCUAAAAGGAUACUUCAGCCUUUGUUUGAGUUGCAGAAAAUUAACAUGGUAAGGAGGAAAAAAUCACUAAUUUUUUUAAAAAGUUCCCUGAUACAGGAACUGAAAAUGAUUUUUGACCAACCUGGGCAAUAGAGCAAAAUCCCAUCUCUACAAAAAAAUACAAAAAUUAGUCGGGCAUGGUGGUGCUGCCUGUAGUGACGGCUACUCAUCCUGAGGUGGGAAGAUUGCUUGAGGCCAGGAGGUUGAGGCUGCAGUGAGCCAGGAUCACACCACUGCACCAGCCUGGGCUACAGAGUAAGACUCAAGAAAAAAAAAAGAUGUUUAAUUAAUCUUGCUUCAGUGCUGAGGUGGUACAGGGAGGGAGAAAGGGAUAUUGGGCUAUGAAUUCCAUCUAAACUGGGGAUUUUUAUCAGGGUGUGAAGAAAGAUUUUCAGGAAUAAUUAUCUGAGUUACUUGGAGUAAAAGUAGCAGGAGGAGGAAAAGAGAUAUGGCCUGUGGGUCUCUGACUUGCCAAACUUCUUAUUCAUUUUACAAAUCAUGAUUUCUAGAGCAUCUUAAUCUUUGAGGCCCAGCUGCUUGGAAGUUGCAUAAUCUCUAUACUUCAGUUCCCCCCUAUAAAAUGGGGAAUAUGAUAGAAUCUACCUUGUAUUUGAGAGGACUAAAUAAAUAUAAAGUGCUUAGAAAAGUAAGGACUCAACUACUAGUAAUAAUUAUUUUGACAUGUUUAAGUAAUCAGUACUAUCUGGAAAACUGUGCUAAUAGUGCCUGAUCUACACAAAUUUAAGUGACUAUACCCCUUUUUUGAGUCAGAGUCUCACUACGUUACCCAGGCUGGAGUACAGUGGUACGAUCUCUGCUCAGUGCAGCCUCCGCCUCCUGGGUUCAAGAGAUUCUCCAGCCUCAGCCUCCCAAGUAGCUGGGAUUACAGGCGCCUACCACCACACCUGGCUAAUUUUUGUAUUUUUAGUAGAGAUGGGGUUUUACCAUGUUGGCCAGGCUGGCCUCAAACUCUGGACUUCAAGUGAUCACCUGCCUCAGCCUUCUAAGGUGCUAGGAUUAUAGGCUUGAGCCACUGCAGCCACCACUCUGUAUAUCUCUUUUGAAAGUCAUAAGCAAUAUCUUUGGAAAAAACACUUAAGGUUAUUUAUUUAGAGGUAGUGUCUCUCUGUACCCCAGCUGGAGUACAGUGGCACAGUAUCACAGCUUGUGGGGAGGCUGAGGCAGGAGAAUUGCUUUGAACCCGGGAGGCAGAGGUUGUGAGCUGAGAUCGCGUCAGUACACUCCAGCCUGGGCAACAAUGCGAGAUUGCAUCUCAAAAAAAUAAAUAAAUAUUUGGAGUCCCAUAAUAAAUAAAUAUUUGGAGUCCAAUGUGAUAGUAUCUGGAGAUGGGGCCUUUGGAGGUAAUAUGGGUUAGAUAGGUCAUGACGGUAGGGCCCUCAUUAUGGGAUUAGUGGCGUUAUAAGAAGAAGAGAGAAAUCUUCCUCCUCAAGAGCAGAGGAAAAGCCAUAUAAGAAUACAGUGAGACGGCCACUUCCAAACCAGAAAGGGAGCCCCCACCAGGAACCAAAUUGGCUGGCACCUUGAUCUUGGACUUCCCAUGCUCCAGAACUGUGAGAAAUAAAUUUCUAUUAUUUAAGCCCAUGGUAGUUUUAUGGCAUCCUAAGCUAAGACAGCGCGUCUCUAGUUUCCCACAGAUUCAUAAAGGUCCAUACAAAAAUGUUAUAACUGUUAAUAGUGUCCUGUCCUUGAAUUUAACAGCAACCAACAUAUUGUUUGCAUAGUUCUUGCACCAUUUGGAAACAGUGACCUUUAGGUGUUGCAGGUAACUAUUGGGAAAUCCUUCAAUUUGUUUAACAUUUCCAUAUUUUGAUUUGCAUCUUGGGAGUUGCUUGGAAUUUGGGAUCCUCUUCUGUCUCUUGAGUUGAAAUCAGAGGCUGCUUGCCGGGCAAGGUGGCUCACGCCUGUAAUCCCAGCACUUUGGGAGGCCCAGGCAGACAGAUCACCAGAUGUCGGGAGUUAGAAACCAGCCUGGCCAACAUGGCAAAACCCCGUCUCUACUAAAAAUACAAAAAUUAGUCGGGCGUGCUGGUGCAUGCCUGUAAUCCUAGCUGCUUGGGUGCUGAGUUAGGAGAAUUGCUUGAAUCCGGGAGGUGGAGGUUGCAGUGAGCCAAGAUCGUGUCACUGCACUCCAGCCGGGGCAACAGAGCAAGACUCUGCCUCAAAAAAAAGAAAAAAGAAAUCAGAGGCUGGGCAUAGUGGCUCAUGCCUAUAAGCCCAGCACUUUGGGAGGCCAAGGCAGGUGGAUCACUUGAGGCCAGGAGUUCAAGACCAGCCUGGGCAACAUGGCAAAAGCCUAUCUCUACUAGAGAUACAAAAGAUUAGCUGGACGUGAUGGUGUGUGCCUGUAAUCCCAGCUACUCAAGAGGCUGAGGCACAAGAGAAUUGCUUGAACACAGGAGGUGGAGGUUGCAGUGAGCCAAGAUCACGCCACUGCACUCCAACCUGGGGCAACAGAGUGAGACUCUGUCUCAAAAAAAAAAAAAAGAAAUCAGAGAUAAUAUAAAUGCAGGUGUAAACUCAUACACUUAAUGGGCUAUAAGUUUUGGAACUGGCUGUGAUAAUAUAACAAAAGUAAUAAUGGGCUGUAAGUGGUAUUAAAUGUGGGAUUAACUGGAUAUUUAAUGAUACCAAGGAAUCAUUAAUUUUGUUUGGCUGUGAUGUUUUAUUAUUAGAAUGAUGUUAUGAUUAAAUUUUAUUUUUGUCUGGAUACAGUGGCUCACACCUGUAAUCCCAGUGCUUUGGGAGGCCGAGGCAGAUGGAUCACUUGAGGCCAGGAGUUCCAGACCAGCCUGGCCAACACGGCGAAACCCCAUCUCUACUAAAAAUACAAAAAAUUAGCCAGGCCUGGUGGUGCACGCUUGUAAUCCCAGGUACUUGGGAGGCUAAGGCAGGAGGAUCACUUGAACCCAGGGGAGGCUGCAGUGAGCUGAGAUCGUGCCACUGCACUCCAGCUUGGGCAACAGAGCAAGACUCCAUCUUAAAAAGAAGAAAGAAAGAACUUCUAUUUUUUAAAUGUUUUUUCCUUUCAUUGAACUCCAUUUAUAGCCUUUCCAUUCAGAGCAUAAAGAUUAAAUUUUAAAACAAGGCUUGGCACCCUGGCUUAUGCCUGUAAUCCCAGCACUUUGUGAGGCCAAGGUGGGCGGAUCACCUGAGCUCAGAAGUUUGAGUCCAGCCUGGCUAACAUGGUGAAACCCCAUCUCUAAAAGAGUACACAGUCCUAGAGCAGUGGUGUGCGCCUGUAGUCCUAGCUACCUGGGAGGCUGAACCAGGAGAAUUGCUUGAGCCUGGGAGGCAGAGGUUGCAGUGAGCCAAGAUCGCACCAUUACACUCCAGCCUGGGUGACAGAGAGAGACCCUGUGCCCCUCAAAAAAAUGUUUUUUUUAAACAAGAAUCUCUCAGGCAUACUGAAAUGUUGAAGAGGAAAUUAUAUUAAUAUCUGGGACUUGUUUCCAAAUUUGGAAUUGGGGCAGGGUGUAAAUUGUUGGCAAUAUCAAAGAAACGAGGAGUUGGAAUGAUAAUUGUAGAAGCUGCAUGAUAGAUACACAUUCUUUAUACUUCUGUAUAUGUUGAAAUUUUUUAUCAAAUUAUAAUUGUGUAUAAUGACUAAUUAUGCUUUCAUUGUCUAUUCUGUGUGGUUAUGUUACUUGCUGAAAUUAAUACAUAAAGAGUCUUCAACUUAAAUGACUUAUCAAGCAUAAAUAUUAAAAUACUGGAUGUUACUACACAUUUGACUCCACUUAUGCAUUUAUUCAUCAACUAUUAAAUGCUUUCAUGUAGAUUUCUCAUUUAAUCUCUGCAAGGUAGGUGUUACCCCUGGUUUUACAAAUGAGAAAAUGUAGAUUCAAGAUAAGUAAUAUGCAGGUCAAGAAUAGCAAAAUCGGUCGGGUGCGGUACCUCACGCCUGUAAUCCCAACACUUUGAGAGGCCGAAGUGGGUGGAUCACCUGAGGUCAGGAGUUCAAUCCCAGCCUAGCCAAUACAGUGAAACCCCAUCUCUACUAAAAAUACAAAAAUUAGCCAGGCAUGAUGGCAGGUGCCUGUAAUACCAACUACUCGGGGGGUUGAGGGAGGAGAAUCGUUUGAACCCGGGAGGUGGAGGUUGCAGUGGCCCGAGAUUGUGUCACUGCACUCCAGCCUGGGCGACAGAGCUAGACUCCAUCUAAAAAAAAUGAAAAUAGCAAAAUUACAACUUUUCCCCCAUUUGGUCUUCCACCUGGAAACUCAUGUUUUAUUUCUACUGUUACCAUGCUGCUUCUCAGACAUGCCUGACUGUUUCUUCCCGUGCUGUUUUCCUUUAGGAGUGAAAGCUUGGCACAACAUGUACAAUAAAAUUUAGGGAAGAUUUUUGGGGUCUUUGUCCUCUUCUUUCCUGUUAAAGCAGCUAGAGUCAGUAGGCAGGACCUAAGGUGUACUACACCAUAAGGAAGCCAUGGAACGGUGAACUGGCAAAAUUCUAGACCCAACUCAUGAAAUUUUGGUUCUUCAAGAAUUUCUUUGACUGCUAUUACCUGUAUUUGUGUUGAUUACUGUUCAAUAUACUGGGUCUCAUCUCACUUUCAGAACAUAAACGAAGAGCUUAAUCCCAACGCACUUGUCUUUGUCCUCCUUCCUGUCUAUGUGUUAUGCAUCUUCUCAAUUAGAAGGCAUGUCUGUACAGCUCAGCAGCUCAGGAGUAAAUGCAAGGUACAAACAUUCCCAACGCUGAGCAGCCACCCCAGCCAUUCAGUCAUUGCUUUCUCAUUCUUCUCAAGGACAUUCCAAGUUUGCAAUAUAGGGAAGCUUGAGACAACCCCUAUGCCCAAACUGAUUGUAAUAGUGGAGCUUUAUGAAUUACGUAUAGUAUAGCAGAGGUUAACUAAAUUCUCACCCUGAAGUGUGUGAAGAGACCAGAUUUUGUAAGCACUUGUGGUUAGAGACCCAAGAAAGGAUCCACCUAUUGAGGUCUUAACAUGGGUUCUAUGUAUUUAUACUCACUUAAUUCCUUCUAACUUGCCCCCACCUCAGAAAAAAAGACACCAUACUUAGGCAAAUCUAGACCCAACUAUGCUUAAAGCAGUCCUUUGCUGACUAGCCCAUAGAGUUGCUUAUAUGAGAUAGACUUGCAGCUGUAUGGUACACUUUCCCUGCCUCUAGCUUUCUGCAUCUCCAGGCUAGAGAGAAUUAAUGACAACAAAAGUACAGACUCCAGUUUUACCCACAGAGAUACCCUUUGACCAGACAAAAACACAGGAUCGGCCUUGAGUGGUGGCUCAUGCCUGUAAUCCCAGCACUUUGGGAGGCUGAGGCAGGCGGAUCACGAGGUCAGGAGUUAAAGACCAGCCUGGCCAACAGCGUGGAA
rnacentral:lncRNA from 1 species